rnacentral:rRNA from 1 species
GACGUAGGGCGCGAGCGUUGUCCGGAUUUAUUGGGCGUAAAGAGCUCGUAGGCGGCUUGUCGCGUCGAAUGUGAAAACCCACGGCUCAACUGUGGGCUUGCAUUCGAUACGGGCAGGCUAGAGUUCGGUAGGGGAGACUGGAAUUCCUGGUGUGAGCGGUGGAAAUACGCAGAGUAUCAGGAGGAACACCCGGGUGGGCGAAAGGGCGG